rnacentral:rRNA from 1 species
UCAAGCUGGAAAGAGCGCAAGGGGAAUGCCUUGGCAUCAGGAGCCGAAGAAGGACGUGACAAGCUGCGAAAAGCCUCGGGGAGGAGCAAAUAUCCAUUGAUCCGGGGAUAUCCGAAUGGGGCAACCCGGCUGGACAAUAUCCAGUCAUCCUGCGUUGAACAAAAUAGGCGUAGGAAGGGAACCGCCUGAACUGAAACAUCUAAGUAGGGCGAGGAAGAGACAUCAACCGAGAUUCCGCAAGUAGUGGCGAGCGAACGCGGAAGAGGCCAAACCGAGGGAUUUAUUCCUCGGGGUUGCGGACAGUCAUUUAGCGGAAGUUAUCUAGGAGAAGGGUCUGGGAAGGCCCGCCACAGAGGGUGAGAGCCCCGUAUCCGAAAGAGAAGGCCGUGCGACUGAAUCCAGAGUACCGCGGGACACGUGAAACCCCGUGGGAAACAGGGGGGACCACCCUCCAAGCCUAAAUACUACCUGAUGACCGAUAGAGGAGCAGUACCGUGAGGGAAAGGUGAAAAGGACCCCGGGAGGGGAGUGAAAGAGAACCUGAAACCUUGUGCUUACAAGCUGUCAAAGCACGUUAACGUGUGAUGGCGUACUUUUUGUAGAACGGUCCGGCGAGUUAUAGUAACGAGCGAGCUUAAGGCAUUCAGUGCCGGAGGCGAAGCGAGAGCGAGUCUGAAUAGGGCGUAAAGUUCGUUGCCAUAGACCCGAAACCGGGUGACCUACCCAUGAGCAGGUUGAAGUGGGGGUGAAACCCCAUGGAGGACCGAACCGACCCCCGUUGCAAUGGUGGCGGAUGACUUGUGGGUAGCGGUGAAAUUCCAAUCGAACUCGGAGAUAGCUGGUUCUCCCCGAAAUAGCUUUAGGGCUAGCGUUAUGUUAGAUUACCGGAGGUAAAGCACUGAAUGGUAGCGGGGCCGAUAAGGUUACCAACGCCUAUCAAACUAAGAAUGCCGGCUAAUUGAUGCAUAGCAGUCAGACAGUGUGAGAUAAGUUUCAUUGUCAAAAGGGAAACAGCCCAGACCUACAGCUAAGGUCCCGAAUAGAUGCUAAGUGGAAAACGAUGUGGAGUUGCGAAAACAACCAGGAUGUUGGCUUAGAAGCAGCCACUCAUUAAAAGAGUGCGUAAUAGCUCACUGGUCGAGUGACUCUGCGCGGAAAAUGUAACGGGGCUAAGCAUCUAACCGAAGCUUAGGAUUGUCGUAAGACAGUGGUAGGGGAGCGUUCCAUGUGGGGUGAAGUCGCAGCGGAAGCAGCGGUGGACUGCAUGGAAGUGAGAAUGCCGGAAUGAGUAGCGAGAAUUAUGUGGGAAUCAUAAUGGCCGAAAAUCUAAGGUUUCUUGGGGAAGGUUCGUCCGCCCAAGGUAAGCCGGGAGCUAAGGCGAGGCCGAAAGGCGUAGUCGAUGCACAUACGGUAGAAAUUCCGUAGCCACCGAACUUUAAGUCAGAGGGACACUUUUGGAUAGCGGAACCCGGGCGUUGGUUGACCCGGGCGAAAGGGAGCGAAAAUAUAGUAGCGAAGUCCGCGAUGCUGAGAGGCGAGAAAAGCUCUGAUGGAUACUAAGGUGCCCGUACCGCAAACCGACACAGGUAGAUGAGGAGAGAAUCCUAAGGCCAACGGGAGAAGGGUUGUUAAGGAACUCGGCAAGUUGACCCCGUAACUUCGGAAUAAGGGGAGCCUCGAAAGAGGCCGCAGUGAAAAGGCCCAAGCAACUGUUUACCAAAAACACAGGUCUAUGCUAAAUCGAAAGAUGACGUAUAUGGGCUGACGCCUGCCCGGUGCCGGAAGGUUAAGAGGAGAUGUCAGCGCAAGCGAAGCAUUGAAUUGAAGCCCCGGUAAACGGCGGCCGUAACUAUAACGGUCCUAAGGUAGCGAAAUUCCUUGUCAGGUAAGUUCUGACCCGCACGAAAGG